UACGUAGGGUGCGAGCGUUAAUCGGAAUUACUGGGCGUAAAGUGUGCGCAGGCGGCACCGCAAGUCGAGUGUGAAAGCCCCGGGCUUAACUUGGGAAUUGCGCUCGAAACUAUGGUGCUGGAGUGUGGCAGAGGAAGGUGGAAUUCCGAGGUGAUAGCGGUGAAAUGCGUAGAGAUCUGGAGGAACACCGGAUGGCGAAGGCACCUUCUGGGCCAACACUGACGCUCAUGGCACGAAAGCGUGGGGAGCAAACAGG
rnacentral:rRNA from 1 species